GAUGAACGCUGGCGGCGUGCCUAAUACAUGCAAGUAGAACGCUGAAGCUUGGUGCUUGCACCGAGCGGAUGAGUUGCGAACGGGUGAGUAACGCGUAGGUAACCUGCCUCUUAGCGGGGGAUAACUAUUGGAAACGAUAGCUAAUACCGCAUAAAAGUCGCUAUCGCAUGAUAUUGAUUUGAAAGGUGCAAAUGCAUCACUAAGAGAUGGACCUGCGUUGUAUUAGCUAGUUGGUGAGGUAACGGCUCACCAAGGCGACGAUACAUAGCCGACCUGAGAGGGUGAUCGGCCACACUGGGACUGAGACACGGCCCAGACUCCUACGGGAGGCAGCAGUAGGGAAUCUUCGGCAAUGGGGGCAAACCUGACCGAGCAACGCCGCGUGAGUGAAGAAGGUUUUCGGAUCGUAAAGCUCUGUUGUAAGAGAAGAACGAGUGUGAGAGUGGAAAGUCCACACUGUGACGGUAACUUACCAGAAAGGGACGGCUAACUACGUG
rnacentral:rRNA from 1 species